rnacentral:rRNA from 1 species
UACAGAGGGUGCAAGCGUUAAUCGGAAUUACUGGGCGUAAAGCGCGCGUAGGUGGUUCGUUAAGUUGGAUGUGAAAGCCCCGGGCUCAACCUGGGAACUGCAUUCAAAACUGUCGAGCUGGAGUAUGGUAGAGGGUGGUGGAAUUUCCUGUGUAGCGGUGAAAUGCGUAGAUAUAGGAAGGAACACCAGUGGCGAAGGCGACCACCUGGACUGAUACUGACACUGAGGUGCGAAAGCGUGGGGAGCAAACAGG